AUGGCUGCCAUCUUCCACUUUCCUCUGCCUAGGUCCUUUCCUAUGGAGGUGCAAGCAGUUCGACAUGUAUUCUACUUCAGUUUAGUACAUCGGAGUAUCAUGUACGUCAGUUCAGUUCAGUACGAAAACAUUAGAGAUUCGACAGACAUAAUCAUGUCGCACAAGUUCAAGUAUAGGUUGCAGGAAAAACAAGAUGCACAAGUUCAUCUUUUGUAUGCUUUUCAGUACAUCUACUUCCCAAUCGUGAGUCUGAUUUCCUUUGUGUUUCCAUCUUCUUCAUAUAGCACAAACAAUUCCUUGUGGUUAUGCUUGAGAAUGAGCACCAUACUGUCACUUGGUUAA
rnacentral:rRNA from 1 species